rnacentral:misc_RNA from 1 species
GAUGAAGAACGCAGCGAAAUGCGAUAAGUAAUGUGAAUUGCAGAAUUCAGUGAAUCAUCGAAUCUUUGAACGCACAUUGCGCCCGCCAGUAUUCUGGCGGGCAUGCCUGUUCGAGCGUCAUUUCAACCCUCAAGCCCAGCUUGGUGUUGGGGAUCGGCACAGGCGCCCUCGGGCGCCAGCCGUCCCCUAAAUCUAGUGGCGGUCCCGCUGCAGCCUCCUCUGCGUAGUAGUUUUCUCCUCGCAAGGGCAGCUCGGUGGCGACCUCGCCGUAAAACCCCCAACUUCUGAAAGGUUGACCUCGAAUCAGGUAGGAAUACCCGCUGAACUUAAGCAUAUCAAUAAGCGGGGGA